UACGUAGGUGACAAGCGUUGUUCGGAUUUACUGGGCGUAAAGGGCGCGUAGGCGGCCACCGCAAGUCGACUGUGAAAUCUCCGGGCUUAACCCGGAACGGUCAAGUGAUACUGUCGGGCUAGAGUACAGAAGGGGCAACUGGAAUUCUCGGUGUAGCGGUGAAAUGCGUAGAUAUCGAGAGGAACACCUGCGGCGAAGGCGGGUUGCUGGGCUGAUACUGACGCUGAGGCGCGAAAGCCAGGGGAGCGAACGGG
rnacentral:rRNA from 1 species